rnacentral:misc_RNA from 1 species
GAAAUGCGAUACGUAAUGUGAAUUGCAGAAUUCAGUGAAUCAUCGAAUCUUUGAACGCACCUUGCGCUCCUUGGUAUUCCUUGGAGCAUGCCUGUUUGAGUAUCAUGAAAUCUUCAAAGUAAAUCUUUUGUUAACUCAAUUGGUUUCUACUUUGGUAUUGGAGGUCUUUGCAGCUUCACACCUGCUCCUCUUUGUUCAUUAGCUGGAUCUCAGUGUUAUGCUUGGUUCCACUCGGCGUGAUAAGUUAUCUAUCGCUGAGGACACUGUAAAAGGUGGCCAAGGUAAAUGCAGAUGAACCGCUUCGAAUAGUCCAUUGACUUGGACAAUACUUUUAUGAUCUGAUCUCAAAUCAGGUAGGACUACCCGCUGAACUUAAGC